AGUCGAGGGGCAGCAUUUCAGUUUGCUUGCAAACUGGAGAUGGCGACCGGCGCACGGGUGAGUAACACGUAUCCAACCUGCCGAUAACUCGGGGAUAGCCUUUCGAAAGAAAGAUUAAUACCCGAUGGNAUAAUCAGACCGCAUGGUCUNAUUAUUAAAGAAUUUCGGUUAUCGAUGGGGAUGCGUUCCAUUAGGCAGUUGGUGAGGUAACGGCUCACCAAACCUUCGAUGGAUAGGGGUUCUGAGAGGAAGGUCCCCCACAUUGGAACUGAGACACGGUCCAAACUCCUACGGGAGGCAGCAGUGAGGAAUAUUGGUCAAUGGGCGCAGGCCUGAACCAGCCAAGUAGCGUGAAGGAUGACUGCCCUAUGGGUUGUAAACUUCUUUUAUAUGGGAAUAAAGUUUUCCACGUGUGGAAUUUUGUAUGUACCAUAUGAAUAAGGAUCGGCUAACUCCGUGCCAGCAGCCGCGGUAAUACGGAGGAUCCGAGCGUUAUCCGGAUUUAUUGGGUUUAAAGGGAGCGUAGGUGGACAGUUAAGUCAGUUGUGAAAGUUUGCGGCUCAACCGUAAAAUUGCAGUUGAUACUGGCUGUCUUGAGUACAGUAGAGGUGGGCGGAAUUCGUGGUGUAGCGGUGAAAUGCUUAGAUAUCACGAAGAACUCCGAUUGCGAAGGCAGCUCACUGGACUGCAACUGACACUGAUGCUCGAAAGUGUGGGUAUCAAACAGGAUUAGAUACCCUGGUAGUCCACACAGUAAACGAUGAAUACUCGCUGUUUGCGAUAUACAGUAAGCGGCCAAGCGAAAGCAUUAAGUAUUCCACCUGGGGGAGUACGCCGGCAACGGUGAAACUCAAAGGAAUUGACGGGGGCCCGCACAAGCGGAGGAACAUGUGGUUUAAUUCGAUGAUACGCGAGGAACCUUACCCGGGCUUAAAUUGCAUUUGAAUANUUUGGAAACAGNNUAGCCGCAAGGCAAAUGUGAAGGUGCUGCAUGGUUGUCGUCAGCUCGUGCCGUGAGGUGUCGGCUUAAGUGCCAUAACGAGCGCAACCCUUAUCUUUAGUUACUAACAGGUCAUGCUGAGGACUCUAGAGAGACUGCCGUCGUAAGAUGUGAGGAAGGUGGGGAUGACGUCAAAUCAGCACGGCCCUUACGUCCGGGGCUACACACGUGUUACAAUGGGGGGUACAGAAGGCAGCUACCUGGUGACAGGAUGCUAAUCCCAAAAGCCUCUCUCAGUUCGGAUCGAAGUCUGCAACCCGACUUCGUGAAGCUGGAUUCGCUAGUAAUCGCGCAUCAGCCAUGGCGCGGUGAAUACGUUCCCGGGCCUUGUACACACCGCCCGUCAAGCCAUGAAAGCCGGGGGUACCUGAAGUACGUAACCGCAAGGAG
rnacentral:rRNA from 1 species